GAUGAAGAACGCAGCGAAAUGCGAUACUUGGUGUGAAUUGCAGAAUCCCGUGAACCAUCGAGUCUUUGAACGCAAGUUGCGCCCGAAGCCAUUAGGCCGAGGGCACGCCUGCCUGGGCGUCACACGUCGUUGCCCCCCCAUCUACUCCUUCGGGAUUGCGGGGGGCGGAUGAUGGCCUCCCGUGCGCCUCGUCGCGCGGUUGGCAUAAAUGCCAAGUCCUCGGCGACGCACGCCACGACAAUCGGUGGUUGCGAAACCUCGGUUGCCCGUCGUGUGCGGUCGUCGCGCAUCGAGGGCUCGAAAAAAUGCUCGGCUCCGGCUCGGCUUUCAACGCGACCCCAGGUCAGGCGGGGUUACCCGCUGAAUUUAAGCAUAUCAAUAAGCGGAGGA
rnacentral:misc_RNA from 1 species